rnacentral:rRNA from 1 species
UGGGGAAUAUUGCACAAUGGGCGCAAGCCUGAUGCAGCCAUGCCGCGUGUAUGAAGAAUGCCUUCGGGUUGUAACGUACUGUCAGCGAGGAGGAAGGCGUUGUGGUUAAUAACCGCAGCGAUUGACGUUACUCGCAGAAGAAGCACCGGCUAACUCCGUGCCAGCAGCCGCGGUAAUACGGAGGGUGCAAGCGUUAAUCGGAAUUACUGGGCGUAAAGCGCACGCAGGCGGUCUGUCAAGUCGGAUGUGAAAUCCCCGGGCUCAACCUGGGAACUGCAUCCGAAACCGGCAGGCUAGAGUCUUGUAGAGGGGGGUAGAAUUCCAGGUGUAGCGGUGAAAUGCGUAGAGAUCUGGAGGAAUACCGGUGGCGAAGGCGGCCCCCUGGACAAAGACUGACGCUCAGGUGCGAAAGCGUGGGGAGCAAACA